GGUGGGUGUGGAGACCACGCUGGAGCGAAACCAGAUCACACGUGACCACAUGGGUCAUCUGUUCCAUCAGCUGCUGCAGGCUGGGAUCCUCUCCACAUCUCAGUUUUUUAAAGGGUUCUCAGAAACCCUCGAGAUAGCAGAUGAUAUGGCGAUUGACAUUCCUUAUGUAUGGCAGUACAUAGCGGAGCUCGUUAAUCCUGUGCUUCGAAGGAGGAAUCUCUUUGAGAGAAUUAUUAAUUGAAUUUAGCAAACCACUACUUCCUGUGGCAAGAGCCGGCAUAUUAUUUGCAAAAAUAUUGCACCUUCUCUGCAAACAAAUGAGCCAAAAGGAAGUGGAGGCCUUAUGGAGGGACUCUAAACUGAGCUGGGCUGAUUUUCUUCCUGAAACCGUGGAUGGGAACAACUUCAUUACUGAGCAGCCCUGAUGAAGUCUGAUGACCUGAAGAGGGUGGAGCUGAGACUUCAGACAGCAGACGGACUUCUGAGGAGGAACAUCAGCACCACACGAGAGGUGGCAGCAGGAUGGGGGCAGGUCAUGACGUGGAAAGGAGACUCUCUGCUUGCAGGCUUCCUGUGACGUAGCUUCCUGUGUUUGACUGUGUUUUUAAACAAACUUUACUAUUUAUCUCUCCUUUUUUCCUCUUUUAAUAAUCCUAAAUUGUUUUUGUCUUCCUGUCUUGUGCCUGUAGUUAGUUAACU